rnacentral:rRNA from 1 species
AGUGAACGCUGGCGGUAGGCCUAACACAUGCAAGUCGAACGGCAGCACAGUAAGAGCUUGCUCUUACGGGUGGCGAGUGGCGGACGGGUGAGGAAUACAUCGGAAUCUACUUUUUCGUGGGGGAUAACGUAGGGAAACUUACGCUAAUACCGCAUACGACCUACGGGUGAAAGCAGGGGAUCUUCGGACCUUGCGCGAUUGAAUGAGCCGAUGUCGGAUUAGCUAGUUGGCGGGGUAAAGGCCCACCAAGGCGACGAUCCGUAGCUGGUCUGAGAGGAUGAUCAGCCACACUGGAACUGAGACACGGUCCAGACUCCUACGGGAGGCAGCAGUGGGGAAUAUUGGACAAUGGGCGCAAGCCUGAUCCAGCCAUACCGCGUGGGUGAAGAAGGCCUUCGGGUUGUAAAGCCCUUUUGUUGGGAAAGAAAGGCAGCAGGUUAAUACCCCGCUGUCCUGACGGUACCCAAAGAAUAAGCACCGGCUAACUUCGUG